AACGAGGCCGACCUGCGGCUGAGUUACCUGCGGAGGGAUCAUUACCGAGUUAGGGUCUUUCCAGGGCCCGACCUCCAACCCCUUGUUUACUUAUACCAUGUUGCUUUGGCGGACCCGCCUUUUUUGAUGGCCGCCGGGGGUUUCCAUUUAAUCCUUGGUCAGUGUCCGCCAGUAGCCCUUCUUUAAAUUCUUUUUUAUAUAACUAUGUCGUCUGAGUUAUAACAAAUAAAUUGUUAAAAA
rnacentral:misc_RNA from 1 species